GCCUGAGCGGGCGGGGCGGGGCGGGGCGGGGCGGGGCGCGCGCGGCCUGGCCUAGGGCGGCGGGAAGCGUGUGGGGCGCCGAGGUCUGCCGUGAGGAGGGAGCGGGAGCGCCGUGCUGAGCUGGCUUCGUGUGCCAAGGCGACCUGUACUGCCAAAUACCCUUUCUGUAGAAAUGUGCUUCAACUAGACAGCUUGGUGGAAGAGGAAGACCGAGAAGAGGAAAUAGACUGUAGUAAUGGAAAGAAGCCUGAUCAGAAGCCUAGCUCAAAGAGAAUCAGAGCUUGCAUUUAUUCAUUUGGAUGGGUCAAUGGCACAGAAGAAAAGAAUGAAAGCAAUUUGUUGUUUACAAAGCAACCAAGCAGGGUCCUGAACUAUAAUGCUUUUGUCUCUGAAAGUGGGUGGAGUUGGAUUAAAUGUGACAGCAGCUUUCCUAAUGUUCUUAAUGGAUCCUCAUGGAAUCCCACUGCAGACAAGCAGUGUUUUGACAGAUGUCACAUGCUGGGCCAGGAGCAUAAUGCUGUUAUUACUAAGGAUUCAGUAGAAGAAAAUAUCCUGAAAAUUAAGAACAAGAAGAGGAAACUUGCAGCAGGAGCCUUGCUACCAAAAGCCUUCAGCAAGUGAAAUAAAACAAAAAAUAUUUAACAAAAUUAAGCAUAAAUAACUUACGUAAUAUUUUGGAUAAUACUUCUCUUCAGGUUACAUGUCCCAUCCUAAUUUUCCCUUUUGCUGUCUUUGUGCUCAAAAUAUAAAUGCUUCAAAUAAAUUAUAAAAACUAACCCCUGAAA